AUUGAACGCUGGCGGCAGGCCUAACACAUGCAAGUCGAACGAGUGGCGGACGGGUGAGUAAUGUCUGGGAAACUGCCCGAUGGCGGGGGAUAACUAAUGGAAACGGUAGCUAAUACGGCAUACCAUAGGAUGUGCCCAGAUGGGAUUCGCUAGUAGGUGGGGUAACGGCUAACCUCAGCGAAGAUCCCUAGCUGGUCUGAGAGGAUGAACCGCCACACUGGAACUGAGACACGGUCCAGACGCCUACGGGAGGCAGCAGUGGGGAAUAUUGCACAAUGGGCGCAAGCCUGAUGCAGCCAUGCCGCGUGUAUGAAGAAGGCCUUCGGGUUGUAAAGUACUUUCAGCAGGGAGGCGUUACUCGCAGAAGAAGCACCGGCUAACUCCGUGCCAGCAGCCGCGGUAAUAC
rnacentral:rRNA from 1 species